rnacentral:rRNA from 1 species
GACGAACGCUGGCGGCGUGCUUAACACAUGCAAGUCGAGCGGUAAGGCCCUUUCGGGGGUACACGAGCGGCGAACGGGUGAGUAACACGUGGGUGACCUGCCCUCAGCUCUGGGAUAAGCCUGAGAAACCGGGUCUAAUACCGGAUAUGACUCCAUGACGCAUGUUGUGGGGUGGAAAGCCUUGUGCGGCUGAGGAUGGGCCCGCGGCCUAUCAGCUUGUUGGUGGGGUGAUGGCCUACCAAGGCGACGACGGGUAGCCGGCCUGAGAGGGCGACCGGCCACACUGGGACUGAGACACGGCCCAGACUCCUACGGGAGGCAGCAGUGGGGAAUCUUGCGCAAUGGGCGAAAGCCUGACGCAGCGACGCCGCGUGAGGGAUGACGGCCU